rnacentral:tRNA from 1 species
GGGGCGUGAGGCGGCGUGAUGUUGCCGGCGAGUCAAAGCCGCGAGGCCACUCGCAGGGCGGGGUUUGACUCCCCGACGCUCCACCA